rnacentral:rRNA from 1 species
ACGAACGCUGGCGGCGUGCUUAACCCAUGCCAGUCGAACGCUGAAGCUUGGUGCUUGCACUGGGUGGAUGAGUGGCGAACGGGUGAGUAAUAAGUGAGUAACCUGCCCUUGACUCUGGGAUAAGCCUGGGAAACUGGGUCUAAUACUGGAUACGACAUGUCACCGCAUGGUGGUGUGUGGAAAGGGUUUUACUGGUUUUGGAUGGGCUCACGGCCUAUCAGCUUGUUGGUGGGGUAAUGGCUCACCAAGGCGACGACGGGUAGCCGGCCUGAGAGGGUGACCGGCCACACUGGGACUGAGACACGGCCCAGACUCCUACGGGAGGCAGCAGUGGGGAAUAUUGCACAAUGGGCGGAAGCCUGAUGCAGCGACGCCGCGUGAGGGAUGACGGCCUUCGGGUUGUAAACCUCUUUCAGCACGGAAGAAGCGAAAGUGACGGUACGUGCAGAAGAAGCGCCGGCUAACUACGUG